GGACCCGCACAAGCGGUGGAGCAUGUGGUUUAAUUCGAUGCAACGCGAAAAAACCUUACCUACUCCUGACAUACUUGGGAGCUCUUGUAAUGAGAGUGUGCCUUUUGGAACCAAGAUACAGGUGCUGCAUGGCUGUCGUCAGCUCGUGUCGUGAGAUGUUCCGUUAAGUCGGAUAACGAGCGCAACCCUUACCCUUAUUUGCCAGCGAUUCGGUCGGGAACUAUAAGGGGACUGCCGGUGAUAAACCGGAGGAAGGUGAGGACGACGUCAAGUCAUCAUGGCCCUUACGAGUAGGGCUACACACGUGCUACAAUGGGGAAUACAGACGGACGCUAAGCCGCGAGGGG
rnacentral:rRNA from 1 species